GCUUUUUUUUGGUAAGUGGGAUGAUGUCACACUAAGUCUGUCAGCAUGUAGCCUGUGGCAGCAAUCAGCUGAGUGAAGGAAUGACUGCCACCUUUGGUCAGAGCGAAGCCACAGUCCUCCCCCAAUCCCCACACUGUACUUACCCCACUGUGUGCAUUUACAUGAGGACUCUGGGAUGAAGAGGUGUUCUAUCUCUCUAGGUCAUAUAGAGCAUGGGAAGAGCACAUGUAGAUGGGAAUGGUUUCCCAAAGAACCCCCAAAUGAGGGACCUAUCCGAAGUGCCAACAAAAGGCACAUGUUUUCCUGACUACUUGGAAAUCUGUAUUUGGUCUGGAAAGAGAAUUUUGGGAACCUAUCAAUCCUCUGAGGCCUUGAAAUCCACCACCCUAGGUGAGUUUAACAGAAAGAAGUUCUCUGAAUCCCAUCUUGUGCUGAGAAGUUUACCCAUAACCUAAGUGAAAAAGAGGAUCCAAGUUUACACAUCUCAAAGUCUGUCCUCUUGUGGGACCUGCUGACGUUUUCUACCUCACUUUGCCUUUGCUCUACAGCUUGUCUUCCUACUCUCUACUCCAUUGUCCCAGCUAUGAAAUGCCAAACACAUCUGGUGCAUUAGGCUUUUCUCCUCCAUUUGUUUUUCUGGGUGAAUUCAAAUCUUGGACUCAGUUUGAGUGGAGUUGGACUGCCCUCUAAUAUCACCAAGAGGCAAGUUCCUCUGCAAUUACAGCACUUAGGGUGACUUUGUAUAAAUUUGGACUUGUUCACAAAACACCAGGAUAGAAAAACAGUGACUAAAGGUCAGCCUGCAGGCUAAGUAUCUAUCCCAAUUGGUAGCCAUUAAAACGUAAUACCUAUGUUCUUACUAACUCCCCUGGGAUCUGCUUAACAUUGUACAACUCCAUAUCAAAUGUAACUAAGACGACAACUACGGUCCACCUUAACUGGUAGUUAUAGCGUUUAGCCCUCAGUUCAUGUUACCUUUAUUUUUAAAAAUUGAGAAUGGCACUUUAGAAUUUUGGAGUGUGUUUUUCCUGCUCGUCCCUUAUAAAAUGUUUAACAGAUUUGCUUUAAAGUGGUAGCUCCUGUGCCAUACAGGGCAUUGCUGUUAAAACAGUCAGAAUGCUGGAAAGAAAACUAUUGGGUCAUCAAGUAAGUCAAAUUCAGAUUUGGCGUAUUUGAAUGGUUUCCUUUUCAUUUUGAGGGCCAUCCUUUGAGUGGACUAAAGAGGAAGCGGCACAACCUGGUGUGAAUUCUAGGAUCUGGUUGUAGAGUGUAGACAGCACUCCAUUCUUAUCUCUGACAAACUUGUAGGAGAAAAAGAGAAAGAAAAGCUUCAUUCAGCUCUCCAGUGCUGGGUUGGAGAAUAUAUCUGGGAGAUGAUCCUAAGUGUUGGCUUGUGGUUAUUUGAUCUAUGACUGGGUUAAAUUUGCACAAAGUGAAGGUGACACAAGGAAACUUAGACCAUGAAAAUUCAACUUCUUGGAUUGAAAAAAAGUAUAGAUUCUUUUUAAAUUAGAGAUAACGUAUAAUAAGGGAACAUGGGAAGAAUAGAGUGAAAUUAAAGCAAAUCCUCAGUUCAGGUUCCAUUAGACAGGAAGUUUCUUUUUAAAAAAAUUAAAUGCUUGUAGCAAUGCUGAGAUUUUCACAGGUACUUCAUGGAAUCUAAUGAGUGAAGGUUUUCCUAAAUUGAUUUGUGUAGACUUCGUGCUUUAAAUUAUGCAUUAUUAACAGACACUUCACACCACGAGUCAGCUGAACAUUCAUAUUCCAGUUGAAUGAAAGGACGUGAAAGAAAGUGAAGUGUUGCUUACUGAAGGCAUGAGUCUGAGUACAGAAAGCUGGAAUAUCAUUUUUGACUUCCGAUAGUUUUCAUUGAUCAGAUUACUACAUAAAAAUUACUUUCUUAUCAAGACAUAAAUUUUGUAUUGGUUCAAGAUGUCCUGGAAAAAUUCUGCAUCUCCUUGGCUCUCACUGAAGUUUUAGGGCAGUUUUUCAUUAAUCUGUGUUAUAUUAAGUCCUUAGGAAAAGACAGAGUCCAACUUAGAAGGAGAAAGACGACAAAAAGGAGGCCAGAGAGGAAAGACAAAUGGUACUGUAGCCUCAGAUUUUUGACUCAAUUAUCAGAUCACUAAAUUCAAUGGCAAUUACUUGCUAAAGAGAAACAGAUUCAAAAACAUUGUCCAGGAUAGGUCUGUUACAAAAAACCCAGCCACACCAACCAAACAAAAAAACCCCAAACAAAUAAAUAUAAACAUAUGUCCCCA
rnacentral:lncRNA from 13 species